rnacentral:rRNA from 1 species
UAGGGAAUCUUCGGCAAUGGACGAAAGUCUGACCGAGCAACGCCGCGUGAGUGAAGAAGGUUUUCGGAUCGUAAAACUCUGUUGUUAGAGAAGAACAAGGACGUUAGUAACUGAACGUCCCCUGACGGUAUCUAACCAGAAAGCCACGGCUAACUACGUGCCAGCAGCCGCGGUAAUACGUAGGUGGCAAGCGUUGUCCGGAUUUAUUGGGCGUAAAGCGAGCGCAGGCGGUUUCUUAAGUCUGAUGUGAAAGCCCCCGGCUCAACCGGGGAGGGUGAUUGGAAACUGGGAGACUUGAGUGCAGAAGAGGAGAGUGGAAUUCCAUGUGUAGCGGUGAAAUGCGUAGAUAUAUGGAGGAACACCAGUGGCGAAGGCGGCUCUCUGGUCUGUAACUGACGCUGAGGAUCGAAAGCGUGGGGAGCAAACAGG